UACGUAGGGGGCAAGCGUUGUCCGGAAUCAUUGGGCGUAAGCGCGUGUAGGCGGUUCGGUAAGUCCGCUGUGAAAGUCGGGGGCUCAACCCUCGAAAGCCGGUGGAUACUGUCGGGCUAGAGUGCGGAAGAGGCGAAGUGGAAUUCCUGGUGUAGUGGUGAAAUGGCGUAGAGAUCCGGAGGAACACCGACGGCGUAGGCAGCGCCCUGGACGACACCUGACGCU
rnacentral:rRNA from 1 species